rnacentral:rRNA from 1 species
GACGAACGCUGGCGGCGUGCUUAACACAUGCAAGUCGAACGGAAAGGCCCUGCUUUUGUGGGGUGCUCGAGUGGCGAACGGGUGAGUAACACGUGAGUAACCUGCCCUUGACUUUGGGAUAACUUCAGGAAACUGGGGCUAAUACCGGAUAGGAGCUCCUGCUGCAUGGUGGGGGUUGGAAAGUUUCGGCGGUUGGGGAUGGACUCGCGGCUUAUCAGCUUGUUGGUGGGGUAGUGGCUUACCAAGGCUUUGACGGGUAGCCGGCCUGAGAGGGUGACCGGCCACAUUGGGACUGAGAUACGGCCCAGACUCCUACGGGAGGCAGCAGUGGGGAAUAUUGCACAAUGGGCGGAAGCCUGAUGCAGCAACGCCGCGUGCGGGAUGACGGCCUUCGGGUUGUAAACCGCUUUCGCCUGUGACGAAGCGUGAGUGACGGUAAUGGGUAAAGAAGCACCGGCUAACUACGUGCCAGCAGCCGCGGUGAUACGUAGGGUGCGAGCGUUGUCCGGAUUUAUUGGGCGUAAAGGGCUCGUAGGUGGUUGAUCGCGUCGGAAGUGUAAUCUUGGGGCUUAACCCUGAGCGUGCUUUCGAUACGGGAUGACUUGAGGAAGGUAGGGGAGAAUGGAAUUCCUGGUGGAGCGGUGGAAUGCGCAGAUAUCAGGAGGAACACCAGUGGCGAAGGCGGUUCUCUGGGCCUUUCCUGACGCUGAGGAGCGAAAGCGUGGGGAGCGAACAGGCUUAGAUACCCUGGUAGUCCACGCUGUAAACGGUGGGUACUAGGUGUGGGGUCCAUUCCACGGGUUCCGUGCCGUAGCUAACGCUUUAAGUACCCCGCCUGGGGAGUACGGCCGCAAGGCUAAAACUCAAAGGAAUUGACGGGGCCCCGCACAAGCGGCGGAGCAUGCGGAUUAAUUCGAUGCAACGCGUAGAACCUUACCUGGGUUUGACAUGGAUCGGGAGUGCUCAGAGAUGGGUGUGCCUCUUUUGGGGUCGGUUCACAGGUGGUGCAUGGCUGUCGUCAGCUCGUGUCGUGAGAUGUUGGGUUAAGUCCCGCAACGAGCGCAACCCUUGUUCACUGUUGCCAGCACGUUAUGGUGGGGACUCAGUGGAGACCGCCGGGGUCAACUCGGAGGAAGGUGGGGAUGACGUCAAGUCAUCAUGCCCCUUAUGUCCAGGGCUUCACGCAUGCUACAAUGGCUGGUACAGAGAGUGGCGAGCCUGUGAGGGUGAGCGAAUCUCGGAAAGCCGGUCUCAGUUCGGAUUGGGGUCUGCAACUCGACCUCAUGAAGUCGGAGUCGCUAGUAAUCGCAGAUCAGCAACGCUGCGGUGAAUACGUUCCCGGGGCUUGUACACACCGCCCGUCAAGUCAUGAAAGUUGGUAACACCCGAAGCCGGUGGCCUAACCGUUGUGGGGGAGCCGUCGAAGGUGGGACUGGUGAUUAGGACUAAGUCGUAACAAGGUAGCCGUACCGGAAGG